rnacentral:rRNA from 1 species
GACGAACGCUGGCGGCGUGCUUAACACAUGCAAGUCGAGCGGAGCGGCGAACGGGUGAGUAACGCGCGAGUAACUGCCCCCCUCUCUGGGACCACAGUUGGAAACGGCUGCUAAUACCGGAUAGUGGGGGAUGAUUCGCGUCCUAUCAGCUUGUGGGUGGGGUAGUGGCCUACCAAGGCGACGACGGGUAGCCGGCCUGAGAGGGCGACCGGCCACAUUAGGCUGAGAUAGGGCACAAACUACGACGGGAGGCAGCAGAGGGGAGUAUUGGACAAUGGGGGAAAGCGUGAGGCAGCAACGCCGCGUGCGGGAUGACGGGCUGCGGGUUGUAAACCGCUUUCAGACAAGACGCGGUAGUGGCAGAAGAAGCACCGGCUAACUACGUGCCAGCAGCCGCGGUAAUAC